CCUACGGGUGGCAGCAGUGAGGAAUAUUGGUCAAUGGACGAGAGUCUGAACCAGCCAAGUAGCGUGAAGGAUGACUGCCCUAUGGGUUGUAAACUUCUUUUAUAUGGAAAUAAACUGUUCCACGUGUGGGAUUUUGUAUGUCCCAUAUGAAUAAGGAUAGGCUAACUCCGUGCCAGCGGCCGCGGUAAUACGGAGGAGACAAGCGUUAACCGGAUUUAUUGGGUUUAAAGGGAGCGUAGGUGGAUUGUUAAGUCAGUUGUGAAAGUUUGCGGCUCAACCGUAAAAUUGCAGUUGAAACUGGCAGUCUUGAGUACAGUAGAGGUGGGCGGAAUUCGUGGUGUAGCGGGGAAAUGCUUAGAUAUCACGAAGAACUCCGAUUGCGAAGGCAGCUCACGGGACUGCAACUGACACUGAGGCUCGAAAGUGUGGGUAUCAAACAGGAGUAGAUACCCGAGUAGUC
rnacentral:rRNA from 1 species